AUUGAACGCUGGCGGCAUGCCUAACACAUGCAAGUCGAACGGCAGCACAGCAGUAGCAAUACUGUGGGUGGCGAGUGGCGGGACGGGUGAGGAAUACGUCGGAAUCUGCCCAGUCGUGGGGGAUAACUAGCCGAAAGGUUAGCUAAUACCGCAUACGACCGAGAGGUGAAAGCGGGGGGACCGCAAGGCCUCGCGCGAUUGGAUGAGCCGACGUCGGAUUAGCUAGUUGGCGGGUAAAGGCCCACCAAGGCGACGAUCCGUAGCUGGUCUGAGAGGAUGAUCAGCCACACUGGAACUGAGACACGGUCCAGACUCCUACGGGAGGCAGCAGUGGGAUAUUGGACAAUGGGCGCAAGCCUGAUCCAGCAAUGCCGCGUGUGUGAAGAAGGCCCUCGGGUUGUAAAGCAC
rnacentral:rRNA from 1 species